rnacentral:rRNA from 1 species
AUACGGAGGAUCCGAGCGUUAUCCGGAUUUAUUGGGUUUAAAGGGUGCGCAGGCGGCCAUUUAAGUCAGCGGUUAAAUCGUGGGGCUCAACCCCAUUCUGCCGUUGAUACUGGGUGGCUUGAUUGCGGUCGAGGUUGGCGGAAUUCGUUGUGUAGCGGUGAAAUGCAUAGAUAUGACGAAGAACACCGAUUGCGUAGGCAGCUGACCAGACCGCAAAUGACGCUCAUGCACGAAAGGGCGGGGAUCGAACAGGAUUAGAUACCCUGGUAGUCCGCACAGUAAACGAUGAAUACUUGUUUUCGGCGAUAUAAUGUCGGAGGCAAAGCGAAAGCGAUAAGUAGUCCACCUGGGGAGUACGCCGGCAACGGUGAAACUCAAAUGAAUUGGCGGGG